UUUCAAGUAUAAACUAUUUGCCUAAAUAUAAUUCACAGAUAACAAACUAAUCAUUUUUAAAUAAUAUCCAAAUUGCAGGUAAAUGUUUAACACAGUAGAUAACAAACCAUGUGCAGGAUCAACUAGUAAAACAAUUUAUUUAAAACUUCAGUAACUUACUGUAAAAUGUUUACUGAUCAUUAUCUGAAAAUCAGAACUACAAAAACUUAAUCCCUUAUAGGAUACCUGGCACUAGUAAGAUAUAAGCAUGACAUGUUAAUCCUAAUUACCAAUUGCCAAUUGUUUAUUUCCAGGCAAAUUUAUGCUCAUUUUCAAGAUUAUUGGAGUGUACUACAAGAGUUACUAGUUCCGUUAUUUAUAUGUCGUCUACAAUGCAUAAGUUUAAGCGAUUAUGAACGACAAAAAGUAUAAAAUUAUGUUGUUUGCUUCAGCACAACGCUUCCAACUAUUGUUUAAUACACCAAAGAGAAUUUACAUUACUCGUCUGUCAAAAAAAAUUAUAUUAAAAUUGUGGUAGAGUGAAAUAAAGUAACUAAAUCUAA